AGAAGCGGUUGCCUUCUGGAGGAGGCCCAGAGCCCGAAGGGGCGGGGCUACGCGUGACGGCCACGGCCCCGCCCCGCCAAGCCCCGCCCACCGCCGGAACGCACGCGUACUUCUCCUUCAGUUGGGCUCCAGCUCUUCUCGCCGCUGUCCCCGCCCACUAAAGCCUUGCCCUCCCUGCGUCAGGCGCGUGCGCAGUGUUCCCGCGCCGCUUCAAGACGUCGCCUACGUCCCCCUGAGCCCGCCGUCCUGCUGCACAGCGAGGUCAGGCUGUGUAGUCCUAUUAACACUGAAGCUGGAGAGGAGGCCCAGCCCCUGCUGCAACAUGUUCUUCAGGGAGAGAGAGACAGAGCUGCAAUGACCCAGAAAUUUGUUGGGAGUCCUGGAGGCUGAAAGUCCAAGAACACGGAACAGGCAGUUUUCAUGUCUGAUAAGAGCU